rnacentral:rRNA from 1 species
UACGUAGGUGGCGAGCGUUGUCCGGAGUUAUUGGGCGUAAAGGGAGCGCAGGCGGGAGGUCAAGUCUAUCUUAAAAGUGCGGGGCUCAACCCCGUGAGGGGAUGGAAACUGGUCUUCUUGAGUGCAGGAGAGGAAAGCGGAAUUCCUAGUGUAGCGGUGAAAUGCGUAGAUAUUAGGAGGAACACCAGUGGCGAAGGCGGCUUUCUGGACUGUAACUGACGCUGAGGCUCGAAAGCGUGGGGAGCGAACAGG